rnacentral:rRNA from 1 species
CAAUAGCGUAUAUUUAAGUUGUUGCAGUUAAAAAGCUCGUAGUUGGAUUUCGGGUGGGACGCAGCGGUCUCGCAUUGCGUUUGUACUGCUGCAGCCCUCCUUCUUGCCGGGGGCGGCCUGUCGGACUUCACUGUCUGCGGGUCAGAAUCGGCGAUGUUACUUUGAGUAAAUUAGAGUGUUCAAAGCAAGCUUACGCUCUGAAUAUAAUAGCAUGGGAUAACACGACAGGACUCUGGCCUAUCGUGUUGGUCUGUAGGACCGGAGUAAUGAUUAAGAGGAACAGUCGGGGGCAUUCGUAUUCCAUUGUCAGAGGUGAAAUUCUUAGAUUUAUGGAAGACGAACAUCUGCGAAAGCAUUUGCCAAGGAUGUUUUCAUUGA